CUCACAAUCCCUUCCACUAUUGCUUACAGACCCGUGUCCUGGCUGCCUGGCUGACUUCCUCAGUCCCUCUCCAUCAGUCCCCACCACCCUCUGGCCAGCCAGCUCCCUGCAGCGGCCCCAGCUCUCCAGUUUCCCUUUUCUCAACCCAACAGCCCUCAGCCUUGCACCUUCCCUAGCUCCACUUCUUCCCCGGCCCUCCCAGCUGGCUCAGCCCUGCUCAGGCCCUUCUCUCCAAGUCCUCCCUAGACAAUCCGGAAGCCUGCCCGGCAUCUAUCUCCUUUCCCCUCCUCUCCCACUUCCAUAAUCCACUUGGCACAGUGACGUGGCAGAGAAGCCUCGCAGAGAAGCUCUUUCUCCCAGCCUGCUAAGACGCGUCUGUCUCACCCGUCUUCUCCUCUCAGGCCCCUCCCGGGUAAGAGUCCAUCUGUCAGAAUCCCUCACCUCCACUCUCCUCACACACCUUCCUCAGCCCCUCCCUCUCAAUUCGCCAGGACAUCCCAGGUCACUGACGACGCUGCCCACCCCGGCCUCCCUGGCCUUCCAGACUCUUUCUAGUCUCCCAUCAGCCUCCCACGUGCUCCAGAUACCAAAUCCAGAACCCCUCUUCCCAUGGAUACCUCAAAACAACUCUUCACCACCCCACCCCACAGCUGUGCGUCCUCCUCCAAGCUCAGCUCCCAUCCAUGGUCACCUAGAUUGCCCCAAAUCAUCCCGGCCUCUUCGGCCAGCCGGGUCCCCAGACAGAGCUCUCCCUCACCACCCGGCUCAGGACUCAUGAUCCCGUUUUUCCCCAAAGGUCGUUCCACUGACCCCCAACUGCCUACAGCCC
rnacentral:lncRNA from 1 species